AACGCGAAGAACCUUACCUGGGCUCGAAGCACAGUGGACCGGGGUAGAAAUAUCCUUUUUCGCAAGAACUGCUGUGGAGGUGCUGCAUGGCUGUCGUCAGCUCGUGUCGUGAGAUGUUGGGUUAAGUCCCGCAACGAGCGCAACCCUUAUCGUUAGUUGCCAGCGGGUUAUGCCGGGCACUCUAGCGAAACCGCCUCGGAUAACGGGGAGGAAGGUGGGGAUGACGUCAAGUCCUCAUGGCCUUUAUGUCCAGGGCUACACACGUGCUACAAUGGCCGGUACAAACCGUCGCAAACCCGCGAGGGGGAGCUAAUCGGAAAAAGCCGGCCUCAGUUCGGAUUGGAGUCUGCAACUCGACUCCAUGAAGCUGGAAUCGCUAGUAAUCGCGGAUCAGCACGCCGCGGUGAAUACGUUCCCGGGCCUUGUA
rnacentral:rRNA from 1 species